UAGGGAAUCUUCCGCAAUGGGCGAAAGCCUGACGGAGCAACGCCGCGUGAGUGAUGAAGGUCUUCGGAUCGUAAAACUCUGUUAUUAGGGAAGAACAAAUGUGUAAGUAACUAUGCACGUCUUGACGGUACCUAAUCAGAAAGCCACGGCUAACUACGUGCCAGCAGCCGCGGUAAUACGUAGGUGGCAAGCGUUAUCCGGAAUUAUUGGGCGUAAAGCGCGCGUAGGCGGUUUUUUAAGUCUGAUGUGAAAGCCCACGGCUCAACCGUGGAGGGUCAUUGGAAACUGGAAAACUUGAGUGCAGAAGAGGAAAGUGGAAUUCCAUGUGUAGCGGUGAAAUGCGCAGAGAUAUGGAGGAACACCAGUGGCGAAGGCGACUUUCUGGUCUGUAACUGACGCUGAUGUGCGAAAGCGUGGGGAUCAAACAGGAUUAGAUACCCUGGUAGUCCACGCCGUAAACGAUGAGUGCUAAGUGUUAGGGGGUUUCCGCCCCUUAGUGCUGCAGCUAACGCAUUAAGCACUCCGCCUGGGGAGUACGACCGCAAGGUU
rnacentral:rRNA from 1 species